GUCUACAGCCAUACCACCCUGAAUGCACCCAAUCUCAUCUGAUCUCGGAAGCUAAGCAAGGUCGGGCUGGUUAGUACUUGGAUGGGAGAAUCAAACCUUGGCCA
rnacentral:rRNA from 1 species